GGGCACGGUGGCGCACGCCUGUAGUCCCAGCUACUCCGGAGGCUGAGACAGGAGGAUUGCUUGAGUCCAGGAGUUCUGGGCUGUAGUGCGGAUCAGGUGUCCGCACUAAGUUCGGCAUCAAUAUGGUGACAUCCCGGGGACAGGGCACCACCAGGUUGCCUAAGGAGGGGUGAACCGGUUCAGGUCAGAAACGGAGCAGGUAAAAAUUCCCCGGGCUGAUCAGUAGUGGGAUCGCGCCUGUGAAUAGCCACUGCACUCCAGCCUGGGCAACACAGCGAGAACCCGUCUCUUUAAAAAAAAAAAAGACAAUAACCACUUGUCAACGUUUCCCAGUCCAAUGCUUCUCCCACUCAAAGCAUUGUGAAAGCUGAACACCAAUACUAGGUCCCACGAGUCCUCCUAACACUGGUGGGAACUGAGAAGUCUGGCAGGAACUCCAGUCAGAUGGUCACCUCUUUAUGGAGAGCCAGAGGCAGCCAGGGAGACCAGCAAAGAAAGGAGGAAGCCUAGAAACGUGAACUACUUGCUCUGGACAAGGAAACCCUGCUCUAUCUGUGCUCUCUUACGUCUCUGCCUCCUCGACCUUGCACUAGAGAAGCCCCACUAUGAGGAGACCGAGAGCUGCCCUCCUCUGACCGCGCAUCCUUUUCAAGAGAGAGCAGAAAGCGUUGUCCGGCUUUCCCCAUUAAACAGACGGAGAGAUGUUCUAAGCUGGCCAGGAUUCUGAACGCCCUGCCAACGGUCUUUUCCCAGCAGAUCGGCAGCAGAACAGGCUCUCGCCUGUCAGACCUACCUGAAGUGCCCUCUUUCAUGCAGUCCUAUCUGUCAGCUGGAGGACCAGUUCUGGGAGGUGGACGUUGUUCUUCGGGCUCCAAAGGCCAUAUGCUAAAAAUACUGAUGGCAGAGACGGACACCCGAAGAGCACUUGGCAGUGAGGAUACUGUGCUGUGUGGAGCCUGUCCUUCAGGGGAAGAUCUCCCAGCUGCCCAGUUUCUCAGGAAAGCGAGUGAGUUCUCACUCCCGUGGUGCCGAACUAGUUCCUGGACCAUCAAGUUCUGAGAAGGAGAAAGCAACGCACAGCCUUCACCAACCAGACAUGGCUGCCCAGUCUUGGACUUCUCAGGUUCCAGAGCAAUCAACCAAAAUAAACAAGUGAUUUGG
rnacentral:lncRNA from 1 species